UACGGGGGGGGGCAAGCGUUUGUUCGGAAUUACUGGGCGUAAAGGGCUCGUAGGCGGCCAACUAAGUCAGACGUGAAAUCCCUCGGCUUAACCGGGGAACUGCGUCUGAUACUGGAUGGCUAGAGUUUGGGAGGAGGAUGCGGAAUUCCAGGUGUAGCGGUGAAAUGCGUAGAUAUACGGAGGAAUACCUGAGGCGAAGGCGGGUUGCUGGGCCAACACUGACGCUGAGGCGCGAAAGCGUGGGGAGCGAACCGG
rnacentral:rRNA from 1 species